AUUGAACGCUGGCGGCAGGCCUAACACAUGCAAGUCGAGCGGAUGAAGGGAGCUUGCUCCUGGAUUCAGCGGCGGACGGGUGAGUAAUGCCUAGGAAUCUGCCUGGUAGUGGGGGAUAACGUCCGGAAACGGGCGCUAAUACCGCAUACGUCCUGAGGAGGAAGGGGGGGGACUUCGGACCUCACGCUAUCAGAUGAGCCUAGGUCGGAUUAGCUAGUUGGUGGGGUAAAGGCCUACCAAGGCGACGAUCCGUAACUGGUCUGAGAGGAUGAUCAGUCACACUGGAACUGAGACACGGUCCAGACUCCUACGGGAGGCAGCAGUGGGGAAUAUUGGACAAUGGGCGAAAGCCUGAUCCAGCCAUGCCGCGUGUGUGAAGAAGGUCUUCGGAUUGUAAAGCACUUUAAGUUGGGAGGAAGGGCAGUAAGUUAAUACCUUGCUGUUUUGACGUUACCAACAGAAUAAGCACCGGCUAACUUCGUG
rnacentral:rRNA from 1 species